rfam:Schistosoma haematobium scaffold660_21, whole genome shotgun sequence.
AUCCAGCUGACGAGUCCCAAAUAAAACCAAACGCGCGUCCUGGAU